rnacentral:rRNA from 1 species
GACGAACGCUGGCGGCGUGCCUAAUACAUGCAAGUAGGACGCAGUUGCGAACGGGUGAGUAACGCGUAGGUAACUACCUAUUAGAGGGGGAUAACUAUUGGAAACGAUAGCUAAUACCGCAUACUAGUAGAUGGACCUGCGUUGUAUUAGCUAGUAGGUAGGGUAAUGGCCUACCUAGGCCACGAUACAUAGCCGACCUUGGAGGGUGAUCGGCAACACUGGGACUGAGACACGGCCGAGACUCCUACGGGAGGCAGCAGUAGGGAAUCGGUGGUAAUGGGGGGAACGCCGGGCGAGGAACGCCGCGUGAAUGAAGAAGGUUAUCGGAUCGUAAAGCUCUGUUGUUAAGGAAGCGGUAAUUAGCCAGAAAGCGACGGCUAACUACGUGCCAGCAGCCGCGGUAAUAC